CAGAUAUAGCUGAACAUUUUGCGAAUAACACACUGCCUUUUAAGCAGGGUGUCCGGGGUUCGAAUCCCCGCUGGAUCACCA
rnacentral:tRNA from 1 species